UACGUAGGGGGCAAGCGUUAUCCGGAUUUACUGGGUGUAAAGGGAGCGUGGACGGAGGAGCAAGUCUGAUGUGAAAAUCCGGGGCCCAACCCCGGAACUGCAUUGGAAACUGUUUAUCUAGAGUGUCGGAGAGGCAAGUGGAAUUCCUAGUGUAGCGGUGAAAUGCGUAGAUAUUAGGAGGAACACCAGUGGCGAAGGCGGCUUGCUGGACGAUGACUGACGUUGAGGCUCGAAAGCGUGGGGAGCAAACAGG
rnacentral:rRNA from 1 species